rnacentral:rRNA from 1 species
UAACGCGAAGAACCUUACCAGGUCUUGACAUCCUCUGACAACCCUAGAGAUAGGGCUUCCCCUUCGGGGGCAGAGUGACAGGUGGUGCAUGGUUGUCGUCAGCUCGUGUCGUGAGAUGUUGGGUUAAGUCCCGCAACGAGCGCAACCCUUGAUCUUAGUUGCCAGCAUUCAGUUGGGCACUCUAAGGUGACUGCCGGUGACAAACCGGAGGAAGGUGGGGAUGACGUCAAAUCAUCAUGCCCCUUAUGACCUGGGCUACACACGUGCUACAAUGGGCAGAACAAAGGGCAGCGAAGCCGCGAGGCUAAGCCAAUCCCACAAAUCUGUUCUCAGUUCGGAUCGCAGUCUGCAACUCUACUGCGUGAAGCUGGAAUCGCUAGUAAUCGCGGAUCAGCAUGCCGCGGUGAAUACGUUCCCGGGCCUUGUACACACCGA